rnacentral:rRNA from 1 species
GACGAACCGUGCAAACGUUGUUCGGAUUCACUGGGCUUAAAGGGCGCGUAGGCGGGUGGUCAAGUCGGGGGUGAAAUCUUUCAGCUUAACUGGAAAAUAGCUUCCGAUACUGGCCGUCUUGAGGGAGGUAGGGGCAUGUGGAACUUCCGGUGGAGCGGUGAAAUGCGUAGAUAUCGGAAGGAAGCCGGUGGCGAAAGCGACGUGCUGGACCUUUUCUGACGCUGAGGCGCGAAAGCCAGGGGAGCAAACGGG